GUAUUUUCCAAAUAAUUGUCUUGACUUGUUCGGCUGCGUCUCAGGUGGAGAAAAUGAACAUGACCAUGCAGCUCUUUUGGGUUUAGUGGAGUUGGCUCUGUAAAUACAAACAGCUAGCACAUAGACACUUCUAAUACAUAAUAUCUAAAAUAUCUAAAUUGGCUUGUGCUUCAUUCUUCACUGCAGAUCAAAACAACAACUCAACAGCCCUUGAAGGAGCAUCUGGAGAUGUUUCUGAUGCAUAUUGGAUAUUUUGCUUCUCUUAUUCAUAGACAAGAAGAAUGUGCCAGUCAAGGAAAAAUGGAAGGUAUUUCAAAAACAAAACAUAAACCCACGAAAUGAAGUACACAUGCACAGGGAUGUCAUUUCCCAUGGAAGACCAGAAGAUGCAUAAGAACAUACUAAAAGGAGCAUCUACAGAUGUUUCUGAUGGAUUUUGGGCAACUAAUUGAAAGUUGCUUCAACUAGUUAACUAAUAUCAACUUCUUCUACUAUCUGGCAUUCACAGUGAAAUGGAAGCAUGACAAGCGCAAAUGAGACCAAAUGAACCAUGGACGGACAGCAACAGCGAGGACACAGAGAGUGCAGAUGAUUGGAAUGGAAGCAUUGAAUCAUUUUAACCUCUGAUCCAAAGUGAGGAAAAUAAUAUACAGACAAAUACCAUAGAGAGCAAACUCCAGUACAGAACUCAUGGUCAUGUACUUCACCUGAGAGGCCAAACGAGUCUUAUUUGGGGCAGAACAAUCCAAUCUUUCUUUACAUAGUGAGAAAGAAACGGUGGAUUGGUGAUUAAAGAUUUUAAAUGAAUAAAGAUUGGUUCCUGGCUUCAGCUCAAAGCGGUUGAGAACCCAAACUGUGUUGAAUAUGAGAGCUGUUGGUGUUUGAGCACAGGGGGGCAGUGUGACACAUCAAAUGAAAUGGCCAAAUAUUGAACCCGAUUCUGCUGACCUUACUGUACAUCUCCAUCAACAGCUCAUUGCAGAACGACAACAGAACAAAACUGCUAUAUUAAAAUCAUCUUUAACUGUAUAUAAAGAGUCCUGGGCCUCUAAAUGAUCAAAACAUGUGUUGUACACAAUCUACUGAUAUAUUGUUAUAUUUUAAGACGAACAACUACUUGACUGAAUCAGCUUGGGUUUACUGAUUUAUACAUUUAUCAUUAUUUAGAAAAUCAUAUAUUAAAUGCCCC
ensembl:lncRNA